ACACCUGUGCACCCUCUGUAGUUCUGUGGACCGGGAGACGUCGUCUUCCUUCCGUGGCUCUACGUCUUUACACACACGCCGUAGCGAAGUCUCAUGGAAUGUUUUUCGCGUUUAACGCAAUACAAUACAACUUUCAGCAACGGAUCUCUUGGCUCUCGCAUCGAUGAAGAACGCAGCGAAAUGCGAUAAGUAAUGUGAAUUGCAGAAUUCAGUGAAUCAUCGAAUCUUUGAACGCACCUUGCGCCCCUUGGUUAUUCCUCGGGGCAUGCCUGUUUGAGUAUCAUGAACACCUCAACUCUCGUGGUCUUCCAUGAUGAGCUUGGACUUUGGGGGUUUGCUGGCCCUGUGGCCGGCUCCUCUCAAACGAAUCAGCUUGCCAGUGUUUGGCGGCGUCACGGGUGUGAUAACCAUCUACGCUUGCGAUCGCCUGCCAGAUUCCCCUCAGCGAUGAAGGUUCAUUGGGGCUYAAAAAAGUCUCUCCACRGCGAGGACGAAUUUUGAAUGUUCGAUCUCAAAUCAGGUAGGACUACCCGCUGAACUUAAGCAUAUCAAUAAGCGGAGGAAAAGAAACUAACAAGGAUUCCCCUAGUA
rnacentral:rRNA from 1 species